GGGAGCCGCAAUCGAUGACGAGGCGAUGAACUCCAAGCCAGCGACGGCGAUUUGAUUGGUGGCCAGCGUUAAUGCCUCUGCGUUUCUUCAUGCUUCUCUGCUGCAGGAGGGCUAUUGUUAGCAAAUGUGGUGGCAGUAACAUUCUGUGUAAUUUUGGCAGCGUCACUGGUACAAAGACUUGGUUCAAUUCCCAUGGCUGCAUUUUAAGCUUGCCCUGCUGUUGCUUUACAGGAGUUGAUUUGAAGAAAGCAGAGUGAUUUUUGGUCGAGUUAUAACAUGAAUGAUCAUGGUCAACAUCAAGGACCUAUAAAGAGGAGUGGGAUGGAUGGGAGGCAUAAUAUGUCAUGUGAUUGCAUAUGACGAGAGACGGAUAGGUUCAGUGGAGGUGGAUUCACUCAUGAUUUAGGGUUCUUUCUUACUCACUUGAUCUAUAUUGUUGAGAGUUAUGGCUCUGAUACCAUAAGGAGGAGUCUUCUCAAAUCUCUGAGACUCAGUAUAGAGAAUUACAGGUUAUGUUAUCAUUUUAUUUGUUAUAAUGUACUACUUUUCUAGCUUAUUAUCCUAUUUGUACAUGUUUUAAAUUCAUCUUUGAUUACAAAAACUUUAUUAUCUUGCCCAUCAUUUCUCACUCUUUUUCAAAAGAGGCAAAAGGAAGCAAGUAGAAUACUUGUUGC